UACAGAGGGGGCAAGCGUUGUUCGGAAUUACUGGGCGUAAAGGGCGCGUAGGCGGCCUGCUAAGUCGAACGUGAAAUCCCCGGGCUCAACCCGGGAACUGCGUCCGAUACUGGUUGGCUUGAAUCCGGGAGAGGGAUGCGGAAUUCCAGGUGUAGCGGUGAAAUGCGUAGAUAUCUGGAGGAACACCGGUGGCGAAGGCGGCAUCCUGGACCGGUAUUGACGCUGAGGCGCGGAAGCUAGGGGAGCAAACGGG
rnacentral:rRNA from 1 species